GAUGAACGCUGGCGGCGUGCCUAAUACAUGCAAGUCGAGCGAACGGACGAGAAGCUUGCUUCUCUGAUGUUAGCGGCGGACGGGUGAGUAACACGUGGAUAACCUACCUAUAAGACUGGGAUAACUUCGGGAAACCGGAGCUAAUACCGGCUAAUAUUUUGAACCGCAUGGUUCAAAAGUGAAAGACGGUCUUGCUGUCACUUAUAGAUGGAUCCGCGCUGCAUUAGCUAGUUGGUAAGGUAACGGCUUACCAAGGCAACGAUGCAUAGCCGACCUGAGAGGAUGAUCGGCCACACUGGAACUGAGACACGGUCCAGACUCCUACGGGAGGCAGCAGUAGGGAAUCUUCCGCAAUGGGCGAAAGCCUGACGGAGCAACGCCGCGUGAGUGAUGAAGGUCUUCGGAUCGUAAAACUCUGUUAUUAGGGAAGAACAUAUGUGUAAGUAACUGUGCACAUCUUGACGGUACCUAAUCAGAAAGCCACGGCUAACUACGUG
rnacentral:rRNA from 1 species